GGGGGAUUUAGGGUCACUGCUCCCAAGGCAUGGUCUGGAGGAAGUGAUGCAGGCUCCAGGUGGGCACACCUGCAUGACUCCCUCAGUUUGCCUUGAGGUAAGAAGCACAACCAGCAGACAACUUGGGAGCUCCUGUUUCCAGGGUCUUAGAGCUGUAUUUCUCUUACCUGUUCUAAUCUCCACUAAAUCCCAUUCUUACAUGUAUAUAGUCUUGCUAUCUGUUCUUCUGAGCAUUUUUAAUGUAUAUUUUCCUUCUGAGGAUUUUAAUGAAUGAAAAUGUGGAAUAUAAAUACACUAUUUGUUGAAAGGGGGGGAGGUUGGAUGAGGUGGGCAUAUGGUAGAUGUUACUGGAAGAGAUGGAAUGAUUGUCAAAAGAGACCCAUGGGCUUCUCCGGGAUUAGUAGACUUCUCCACACUCAGCAGCCCUAGUUUGCUGAGGUAGAAGAUCUGCCAUCCAGAUCUUUGCCUGGAGACCUUGACUUCUGGAAAUGCAUGUGGUUCAGCACUAGCAGCUUUUCAGCCUGUUUUCUUCUUUAGCCACAAUACCCAGGAAUUCUAGAGAAACUCCUCAAGCAUGCACAGAAGCAGUCCUUCUUUUACUGGGCCAGAUAUAGCUGGGGAACCAGAAGACUCUUGAAGCUAAAAAAUACUUGUCCUAUAAUCCCCCUCUCUUCUUCAGAAAAGCUCUUUCCAACUUCCUCUGUGUCCUGACUGCCAUGAAGUGAACAGCUUUUCUCCACCACACAGUUCUGCCAUGAUGUUUGUGCCUUGGAGCAAACUCACUGUGGACUGAGACCUCUGAAACCAUGAGCCAAAAUAAACCUUCUCUCCUUUAA